UGCUUGUCAAAACUUUUAUGUUGUUUAAUGAUCUGAUUCCUGUACUGCAUGGACACUGAAAGCUGGCAAGGCUUUUUAUAGUUCUUAUAAUACUGAUGUUAUGCUAAAAUAUGUAGGCUCGUUAGAAAUGGGCAUGGGUCUCAUCUAGGCCGUGUCUAGUAAAACCCAAAUCUGGACCUGAAACUUAAACCCACCCAGACUAUAGGAUCCGAAAAAUCCAGACCUUCACCAGAUCCAAUGAGUCUAGCAGGUUUGGCGCUUCAAAUGCAUACACGAUGGUUCUUAAACUUGCAACGAGUUUCUCCUUCUUUUGUUGCUCACUUAAAAGGAUGAUUAAAUUAAAUAAAGUUAGCAAACGCUGAGCUAAAUCCUCAGUCACCAUUGCAAAGUUGCAAUAGCUAUACAUAUAAAAUUAUUCUACUAUUCUUGGACAAAACAUCCUAAAUUGAUUCUUACGACGGUAUGAGCUUUACUUUAUGUUGCAAUUUUAAUCUGUAAUUUAAUAAUCUGAAAUAUAGAAUCAAUAGGAUCCAUGGGUCAAAUUUGGUUCAGGUUUGGGUCUUAAAGAUUGAGCGCAGAUUCAUACCGGAUUUUGAACACCUAGAUCAAAUGUGCCCAUGUUCAAGUGGUUCUUAAAAAAUUAGACGCAGACUUCUAAAAGUGGGUCGGGUCCGGGGUCCAUGCCCAUCCCUAGUCCGCUGCGUGUAGUUCUCGUUGUUAUUUUUUUAAUGUUUAUUUCAUGCUUAAUCUUUCUAGGUUUGCAUCAAUUACUAUAAACGAAAAUUGCUGUGUUCAUCUCAUCUAGCACGUUCUGGUCCUGGAUUUAAUAUGCUAGAUGCUAAAGUUAGAUUGAGUCUCCAAUCAAAUGUUAUAGGGAUUUCUCUGCAUUCGCUGGUGUCAGGCCACAAUACUUCUGACCCUUCUUACUAAUGCUCUGGGAAAGCCUUGUUGGCGGCACUGGGGUUAUGGUGACAUGCUUUUUUUUUCGGUUGAAAUCUUCUUAAAACCUUGGGGUUUCAGGAAGCAAUUCAAACUUACUUGAGUUUGAAUAAAUGUUUUCUACUUACGUAAAUGAUUUCUUGGUGAUAUGGAAAUUCUAACUUAUGCCCUUCACUAUGCGAAACAUUCCUGUCACUCUCAGGAGAAAUCAUUCAUGGAGAUUGUGCAAGAUGCAGAAUCAAAUGUGGGACAAAUCUCUUUAGUAGAGAAGAAAGCGGACCACUUUUUGCCGAGUUUGAAAGGGGCCAUAGACACAAUGGAAUGUGAUGGUCUGGAGCUAGAUGGAGAAGCUAUUACAUUUGAGGAAAGCUCUAAUGGGUCUUCACACUGUGGUUCUGAUUUGAAUGACCAGAAGUUGUCUGGGGCUGUUCUUGAUUAUGAUGAUGAUAACCUUGAGGAACAGGUCCUAUGUAAAGAAGCUUGCCUUGAUUUUCAGAACUCACAUGUAGAUGUGAACACAAUUGACUGUGAGCCCCUUUCUGAAAAUAAAGAUGAAGAGUUGUCUAUAUCAGUAUCCAAGUGGCCAGAACAAGAUGAAUCUCUGGCAUUAUGGGUUAAGUGGCGAGGGAAGUGGCAAGCAGGAAUCAAAUGCGAGAGGGCUGACUGGCCAUUAGCAACUGUGAAAGCAAAACCAACUCAUGACAGGAAGAGUUAUAUUGUUAUAUUCUUUCCGCACAAAAAGCAUUAUUCUUGGGCUGAUACAUUGCUUGUAUGUGCAAUUGAUGAGCUUCCACAACCUAUUGCACACCGGUCACAUAGAGUUGGAGUUCAACUGGUUGAAGAUUUGACUGUUGCACGCCGCUUUAUCAUGAAAAAGAUAGUAAUUGGCGUGUUGAAUAUUGUUGACCAGCUUCCUGUUCAGGUGUUGGUUGAAACUGCUCGUGAUGUAGUUGUAUGGAGGGAAUUUGCUGCGGAGGCUUCUCGCUGUAAAAGUUAUCCUGACCUUGGAAGAUUGCUCUUGAAUCUUCGAAAUAUGCUGUUACAGAAGUACAUUGAUGCUAACUGGCUGCGGCAUUCUCUCCACCUGUGGGUUGAAAAAUGCAAGAAUGCUCUUAGUGCUGAUUCCAUUGAACUUCUGAAGGAGGAACUAGUGAAUUCUAUUUUGUGGAAUGAAGUUAACAGCCUCCGAGAUACUCAGGGUCCACCUGCAUUAGGUUGUGAGUGGAAGAUGUGGAAGCAUGAAGUAAUGAAAAGUUUCUCAAUCACAAAUUCAGCGGCAAGUGGUGGAGUUAUAGAUCAGCCAAGCAAAAAUGGCAUACAACAUAUCAGUGUAAGUCCAUCGAUGACAAGUCUUCCAAUUAGUCGGAAGAGACCUAAGCUUGAAGUUCGCCGAGCAGAGUCACAUAACUCAGUAGUUGAAAAUAAGAGCUGUCAGGAAAAUGCUGUUUUUGAGAUUGACUCUGCAUUUUUUACUGGUCAGAGCACUAUGACUGCCGAGAAUGCUCUUUUGCCUCCUGAAGAGGCACUCUUUGGCCCAAGAAUUGUGCAAACCACCUCGCAGAGCAAUGCCUUGAACAGAUGGGAUCAGGUUGUGGCUGAUACUUCAAAUACAGAGUCAACCGAGAAAGAAGAUGGUAAAUUGCAACCUAUUAAUGGAGUGCUUGAGGCAAAAUCCGCAUCUGCUAAAGUUAAGAAUCGGCAAUGCAUUGCUUUUAUCGAGGCUAAGGGAAGACAAUGUGUCAGGUGGGCCAAUGAUGGCGAUGAUUACUGUUGUGUUCAUUUGGCGUCUCGUUUUGUAGCGCAUACAGUCAAAACAGAGGUCACUUCCCCUGCUGAAGCAUAUAUGUGUCAAGGAACUACCACUCAAGGUACCAGGUGCAAACAUCGCUCUCUUCCAGGUACCUCAUUUUGUAAAAAACACCGCCCCCAUGAUGAUGGAACGAUACCUCCAAGUUCACCUGGAAGUCAGCUGAAGAGAAAGCAUGAUGAGCUUCUAGACAUGUCCGAGUACACAUCUAAGGAUGUUGUCAUGGUUCAGGUAGCUCAAAGAUCUCCCAAAGAGCAUUUGACCACACCUAUGGAGGGAAAUGCCUCUAAUGAAGGGAAAAGUGUUAUCGCAAUGGCUGAACAAUUUGUUGAGGGUUCUAACACUAAGGAUAUAGACAUAGCUUUCUGUGUCGGAUUGGGUAUGCAUGAGGGUCCUGCUAGUUGUCUAGAAAUCCCCAAGCGUCAUUCAUUGUACUGUGAGAAGCAUAUACCAAGCUGGCUGAAACGUGCUAGAAAUGGUAAGAGUAGGAUAAUCUCAAAAGAAGUAUUUGUGGAUCUUCUGAGGACAUGUUCUUCCCAGAAGCAAAAAGUGCAUUUGCAUCAAGCAUGUGAACUUUUCUACAAGCUCCUGAAAAGCAUAUUAUCCUUGAGAAACCAAGUUCCUAAAGAGAUUCAAUUUCAGUGGGCGAUUUCUGAAGCUUCUAAAGAUCUACAUGUUGCUGAACUUUUAAUUAAGUUGGUUUCCACAGAAAAAGAGAGGCUCACAAGGAUAUGGGGGUUUAAUCUGGACAAGGAUGCACAAGUUUCCUCCUCUGCUGUGGAUGAACAAGCUCUGGUGCCUUUUGAAGAGGAGGCUGAUGAUGAUGGAAGUUUCAAGUGUAAAAUUUGCUCUGAAGAGUUCUCUGAUGAUCAAGCACUUGGAACUCACUGGAUUGAUAGUCAUAAUAAGGAAGCACAAUGGCUUUUUAGGGGAUAUGCUUGCGCAAUUUGUCUUGAUUCUUUCACAAACAGGAAGGUUCUUGAGACACAUGUACAGGAUAGACACCAUGCUCAGUUUGUUGAGCACUGCAUGCUUAUCCAGUGUAUUCCUUGUGGUAGCCAUUUUGGUAAUCCUGAGGAGCUAUGGUCACAUGUUCUUUCUGUUCAUACAGAGGGUUUUAGACAGUCAAAAAGUGGGAACAACGGUCACCAAUAUGUGGGUUCGCAGCAUAAACCUAUUCCAUUGAAAUCUGCCUGUGUUGAUAAUUCUGAGAGUCAGAGCAGUGUACGAAAGUAUAUUUGUAGAUUUUGCGAGUUGAAGUUUGAUCUGCUACCUGAUUUAGGUCGGCACCAUCAAGCAGCUCAUAUGGGACCAAGUUUGGUCAACUCUCGUCCAAAAAAGAAAGGUCUCCGCUUUUAUGCUUAUAGACUAAAGUCAGGAAGACUAAGCCGUCCUCGAUUAAAAAAGGGUCUUGGUGGAGUAUCUUAUAGACUCAGAAAUAAGGGCAGCAUAGGUUUAAAGAAACGAUUACAGCCUGUUAAUCCUAUAGGUGCUGGAGGAAUAAAUGUGCAGUCACAUGUAAUGGAUACUGCAAGUCUAGUUAGACUAACCGAGGGUCAGUGCUCAGCUAUUGCAAAAAUGUUGUCAUCUGAAGCUCAGAAAACAAGAGCUCGCCCUAGUAAUCAUGAAAUCAUAUCUAUUGCUCGCUCUGCUUGCUGCAAGGUUAGCGUUCAGAAGUCUCUGGAGGAGCAAUAUGGAGAAUUACCUGAACGCUUACACUUAAAAGCUGCUAAGCUUUGCAGUGAACAUAAUACUCCAGUAGAUUGGCAUCAGGAGGGGUUUAAAUGUUCGAAAGGAUGCAAACCAAUGGAAGAUCAAAAUUUCGGGUCAGUUAUUCCUUGUCCCAUUAAUGACAAUGGAAUGUUUAAAACAUUUUCGUCAAACCCAGAACAGGAGGAUUGUGAAAUGGAUGAGUGUCACUUUGUCUUACAUCCACCACAAUUUAGGUGGAGGCAUUUGCAGACGACUAUUAUCUUGUGUGAUGAUAUAAGUUUUGGACAAGAAAGGGUGCGAAUUCCUUGUGUUGUAGACAAAAACCUGAUAGAAUCACUUCAUAAUCCGACAUUUGGCUUUGAUGGGAAAGUUAUUUUCAUGCCCUGGGAGAGCUUUACAUAUAAGACUAAGCCACUAUACAAAAAACCUCUUGAUGUCAAUAUGCAGUUAGGGUGUGGCUGUUCACUUUCAACUUGCUGUCCUGAGACAUGUGAUCAUGUCUACCUGUUCAACAAUGACUAUGAGUAUGCAAAGGAUAUAGAUGGAAAGCUCAUGGAAGGAAGACUCCCUUAUGAUGAUAAAGGCCGACUUGUUCUUGAGGAUAAUUAUCUUGUCUACGAAUGCAAUAACUUGUGUCAGUGCAGUAGCAAAUGCAGAAAUAGGGUUUUGCAGAACGGGAUUAGAGUGAAAAUGGAAGUGUACAAAACAGAGAAGAAGGGUUGGGCAGUCCGAGCCUGUGAAACAAUUUUGCGUGGUACCUUUGUAUGUGAAUAUGUUGGUGAAGUUUUAGAUAAACAGGAAGCCAAUCAAAGGCGCAAAAGGUGCGGAAAAGAAGGCUAUGAUUAUUUUAUUGACAUGGAUACCCAUAUACAGCACUUGAAUGCAGUGACGGAAGGGCAAGUCAACUAUGUCAUUGAUGCCACGAGAUAUGGAAACAUUUCGCGGCUCAUAAAUCACAGCUGCUGUCCAAACCUUGAAAGUCACCUUGUUCUUGUGGAAAGCAUGGAUUUUCAACUUGCCCAUGUUGGUUUCUAUGCAAAGCAAAAUAUAGCUGCUGGGGAAGAACUGUGUUAUGACUAUCACUACGAGCUACAGGCUGGAGAUGGAUUCCCCUGCUUGUGCGGAGCUUCUAAUUGUAGGGGUCGCCUUCACUGACGAGUGAUGAUAAUAUUAUCAUCGAUUAGGCAGUCAAUUCGUACCAAUGAAGCUGCUUCGAAGGGCCUUUGAUAUGGAGUUUGUGGUUGUACUGCUAACUCUUCCAUUGACUUCUUGGGCAGAGCUGACUGAUCCCUUGUUUGGAGCGUAUGAUGCCUUCUUCUUCUUUGCAGGAUCGAAAGGGCAAAUUAAUGGCUCCGGCGAGAUCGGAAUAACAGAAUGUUCAAGUUGUGGCAUGUAGAAGAGUUUGUACUUUCGUGCAGAGAUACUGGAGAUAACAAGUCAGUUAUUUGUAUGUUGAAUCAUCAGGGGAUAGUUUGUUUCAUUGUACAUUUGCAGAAAGAUGUGAUUUUGGAGGAUUGUUUUACAUGCUUUCAUUGCACGUUUGCAGAAAGGUGUGCAGUUUCAGUUGUUAACCCUGCUUUUACACACUUUUAUACUUAUACUUAUCUCUCCCUCCCAUUUUAUACUCCAUUUGUCUCCCAAUAAAUUUCCCAUUUUUCCA